AAAACAUAAUUCAGGUGUUAAGUGACAAACACCCAAAUUAGGGGGGGGGGGGCGUAUGUGGAAUUUAGCCAAACUAUUGUAUCAUUCUCUUCCCGCGGAAAUAUGAAUAGAGCCCGGCGUUAAUGGAGGGAGUGGAGGAAAUCGCAGAGGCGCCGGCGAGUUGUCAUAAGCUCGUUUUACUCUUUUGCCCAUGUAGAUCUACGAAGCUACUACUAAGCCUGGCCUUCGAUUCUGACUGAGUAUAUGCGGGGGGUAGGGGGAGCGGGAUUGGACUUCUUAUUUAAGCUUAUAAUCCCCAGACUGUUGAACACCAGCCUAAUUUAGGUUUUUCUCUCUGAGGUUUCUCUCGAAGAAGACCGGUAGAUGGGCGGAAACCUAGAUAUUUUGAUCGAUAAGCUUGCAAUCAAGCGUUUGGAUUGUAUUGAAGAUUCUUCCCUCUUAAACCAAAGGAAAGGUUUAGUUUCUUGUAUAUUUCAAUUGAUUCCAGUUUUGUAUUUCGUAGCAGUGAUAUUGGUCAUGACGAGAAGUGGGUUGCCCUAAUUCGGCGUCGUAUCGAUUUCGCUUGGGCAGUGGAGAAAGAUACGACAAGGCAGGCAAGCUGGAAGGAGAUGACGACGCAAGGCUAUAGCAUAGCUUUGUGGAGAACUUGUAGUUGGCUCAUCAAGUUCAUCAAGAACUGUUUAUCAUCAUUGAUCUGAUUAACACAGCUAAGUUCGAAUUUCUUUGGAUAAUAAUCGUGGAGAAACAGUACAACUAUACUAGUCUAGCGCUUAGGUUUGCAGUUUUUCUUUUUCAAGCCUAUCAAAUGCUAUUAUGUGUCUAUUCUUUGUGUUCUAUGGCAAUAGUUUCAGGUUACAAUUUCGAGUUUUUCCCGUUUAGUGUUUGAAUUUUGCUUGUUUCCCUGACGAUGACUCCUUUUUAUAGAAAUUCUGGGUCUUGAACGUUAUUCUGAAUCGUUUUAUGCUAAAUUGCUAAUACAAGCAUAAAGUCAAGCUUCUAAUAGCCCAACAGAUUUAGACAUAAUUGAACUGACAAUAAAAUAAUGUUGAUCGUAAGGAUAAGUUUUGAUGACUUACAGUUCUCUUUUUUCCGUGGUUUAAAACUAUCUUUCUUUUUAAUCUCUGUAGGUGGAGGCUAAUGAUGCAGUAACAGUAGCUGGAAUAAUCAGACCAAAGCAAUUACCUUAUAAGUUCUGUCAGUCCUUUCUGUUUCUGCAGCAACUAAGCUGCAGUGCUUCCGGUUUGCCAAUCUCCACAUUUUGACGCCACCAAAUCAUGUUAGCAGAGUGGUCACACUAUAGCCAACAAAUUGAUGCACCACUGUUUCAUAAUCUUGGGCCUUGGCACCAGUUGAAAGUCGGGUAGGUUACUGCUCCAUGAGGAAGCUCUUUUGGUACGACUGAAGGCUAGCCAGGACUUCUAUGCUUGUCUUUCGAGCUAGAACUGUGUGAGAUUUCAGGUGUUCGCAUUGAUAUCUCCAACGAUGGUUCCAGAAACCAGGAGAUUAUUAGGACAUUUGUCUUUGGAAGGGUUAUAUUCAACAAUGGUGGAUUUGGUCACCUUGUGCAAUAGUGGUGGGAGCCAUUGGUUUGUCAGAUCUCUCACCCACAUUUUUCUGUUUACUCGUUAGUGAAAAGCUUUUUUCCCGAAUUUGUUAUGGUCAACAGCAUUGCUUGUAGACCAUGUGAAAUUUUUACUCUCAAAAAGAAUUCCUUUUUUCACUCA